rnacentral:rRNA from 1 species
GACGAACGCUGGCGGCGUGCCUAAUACAUGCAAGUAGAACGCUGAAGGAGGAGCUUGCUUCUCCGGAUGAGUUGCGAACGGGUGAGUAACGCGUAGGUAACCUGCCUGGUAGCGGGGGAUAACUAUUGGAAACGAUAGCUAAUACCGCAUAACAGUAGAUAUCGCAUGAUAUCUGCUUGAAAGUUGCAAUUGCAUCACUACCAGAUGGACCUGCGUUGUAUUAGCUAGUUGGUGAGGUAAAGGCUCACCAAGGCGACGAUACAUAGCCGACCUGAGAGGGGGAUCGGCAACAAUGGGAAUGAGAAAAGGCCCAGACUACUACGGGAGGCAGCAGUAGGGAAUCGUCGGAAAUGGACGGAAGUCUGACCGAGCAACGCCGCGUGAGUGAAGAAGGUUUUCGGAUCGUAAAGCUCUGUUGUAAGAGAAGAACGAGUGUGAGAGUGGAAAGUUCACACUGUGACGGUAUCUUACCAGAAAGGGACGGCUAACUACGUG